rnacentral:lncRNA from 13 species
CUUGGGUCCCAGCUGCUUCCUGGGCCUCUGAAUCCUCAUCUUUGAGCUGAGGGUGUGAGACGGGAUAAUUCCAGCCACCAUCCAGCCCCAAAUGUCCCCCACUUCAUGACUGUCUUCCUCAAAUGCCAUGCCUCCUCAAAUACCUCUCCUCCCCACCAGCGAGAGAGGUGCAGUCUGGUGGGGGAGAGAGGAGGCUGCUGGAUGACUGUGCCUUCUUCCCACAUCCCAGCCUGUUCUUCUGGAUCCCACAUCCAGGGACCCCCAGCCUUUACAGUUGACCCAUUCCAGCAUAUUAGCCACAAGAUUGUUGGUUCUCUUUAAUAGGUGAGGAGUCUGAGUCUCAGACAGACCCUGUGUCUUGCUGAAAGUCACCUGGCCAGUCAGGGGCAGGGCUGGGUUUCAAGCCCAGCAGCAGGCCCCCUUGCCCCCACCCCCCAACAUCUGUGCAGAGCCCUGGGUUGCCCUCCUCCAACGUCGUUGUGGCGUGAACAGCCAGGCGCUUUCAUUCAGGGCCCGACUCUGCAGCCGCCACAGCCUGGUGAUGUCAGCGUUGCCAUGGAAACCAUUCCCCAGGCGUCGGGCAGGACCAGCCUCCCCAGCGCAGUUUCCCUUUGUGUGGACUUUGCAACGCGUUGCCAAGACAGAAGAAUCCUAUAGUACCUUUGGAGAGUGGGCCAGCUCUGUCCAAAGCCUCCCACAAGCUCCCAGAUCUAAGAGGGGUUUGAGCCAAGCGAGAAUCUCCAAGCCCAGGCCCCUCCCUGCAGAGGCUUGGAAAGCCUGCUCAGCCUAACAGGGUCUUCCUAUGUUUCCCAGGCUGCUCUCCAACCCCUAGGCUUGAGUGACCCUCCUGCCUUGGUCUCCCAAAGUGCUGGGGUUACAGGCACCAUGCCUGGCUGUGAAUCUCCCUUAUUAAAGAUCAGCAAACACUAGUGACCUCCACUGAGAGCCGACGAGAGCUGACCUCAUGCCAGGGAUGCCAGGAAUGGCUGGAUGGCUGCAGCAGGAAAUGCACAACAGAGGCAGCCAGAGCCACUCUUGCUAUCCGGCUCUGGAAGGUCCCUCAGUGCUCUGGGGCCCAGGCUGCCCGUGUUGGAACUGCCACAUCCAGUCCUACCAAAGUCCACGCUGCAGCCACAGGAACGAAAAGGAUGAUAGCUUUGUGGAAAACUCAAGUAUUUAAAAAAUAAACAAAACGUGUGAAGGCCA